AGUGAACGCUGGCGGUAGGCCUAACACAUGCAAGUCGAACGGCAGCACAGUAAGAGCUUGCUCUUACGGGUGGCGAGUGGCGGACGGGAGAGGAAUACAUCGGACUCUACUUUUUCGUGGGGGAUAACGUAGGGAAACUUACGCUAAUACCGCAUACGACCUACGGGUGAAAGCAGGGGAUCUUCGGACCUUGCGCGAUUGAAUGAGCCGAUGUCGGAUUAGCUAGUUGGCGGGGUAAAGGCCCACCAAGGCGACGAUCCGUAGCUGGUCUGAGAGGAUGAUCGGCCACACUGGAACUGAGACACGGUCCAGACUCCUACGAGAGGCAGCAGUGGGGAAUAUUGGACAAUGGGCGCAAGCCUGAUCCAGCCAUACCGCGUGGGUGAAGAAGGCGUUCGGGUUGUAAAGCCCUUUUGUUGGGAAAGAAAAGCAGCAGGUUAAUACCCCGCUGUUCUGACGGUACCCAAAGAAUAAGCACCGGCUAACUUCGUG
rnacentral:rRNA from 1 species